ACCCUCUCAGGGUCGCACCUGGAGAGUUUCCAGUACUUUACCAGUCUUGACUUUGAGAGGGAGAGUCAAGCAGAAGCAUACCAAUUCCAUGCCUAGCUUGUCCAGUGGCUAGUGAGUGAAAGGCAAUCUGCUACAAGU